rnacentral:rRNA from 1 species
GACGAACGCUGGCGGCGUGCCUAAUACAUGCAAGUGGGACGCAAGGAAACACACUGUGCUUGCACACCGUGUUUUCUUGAGUCGCGAACGGGUGAGUAACGCGUAGGUAACCUGCCUAUUAGCGGGGGAUAACUAUUGGAAACGAUAGCUAAUACCGCAUAAUAUUAAUUAUUGCAUGAUAAUUGAUUGAAAGAUGCAAGCGCAUCACUAGUAGAUGGACCUGCGUUGUAUUAGCUAGUUGGUAAGGUAAGAGCUUACCAAGGCGACGAUACAUAGCCGACCUGAGAGGGUGGUCGGCCACACUGGGACUGAGACACGGCCCAGACUCCUACGGGAGGCAGCAGUAGGGAAUCUUCGGCAAUGGACGAAAGUCUGACCGAGCAACGCCGCGUGAGUGAAGAAGGUUUUCGGAUCGUAAAGCUCUGUUGUAAGUCAAGAACGUGUGUGAGAGUGGAAAGUUCACACAGUGACGGUAGCUUACCAGAAAGGGACGGCUAACUACGUG